CGUCGCUCGGCCGCAGUGGCAACGGCGCCGCCCUUCUCCCGCAACUCGACGCCGACCCAUCCCCAUCCUCCGCCGCCGGCUCUUUCCCAUCCCCAUCCCCAACUAGUGAGCGUGAACCCGAUGUGAGGCGCGCGAAAUCCCUCCGCCAUGGAGCAUAGUGACGGCGAGACCGCCGCCAAGCGAGCCAAGCUCUCCGCCAGCGGCAGCGAGGACCUCCUCAGCGCGCUAUCCGACGACGUUCUCAUUCACAUCCUUCUCAAGCUCCGCAACACCGCCGUCGCCGCUCGGACCAGCGUCCUCUCCAGCCGCUGGCGCCGCCUCUGGGCCCUCCUCCCGGGCCUGGACUUUCUCCCCGACAUCAACCCAUACAGCGUACCCGCCGUCCUCGCCGCCCAUCAAGCGCCGGCCCUCCGCUCUCUCCGCAUCCUCGCCACGGACGCCUCUGCCGACUUCAUGGCCGCGUGGCUCCCCAUCGCCGCCCGCCGCCUCUCCGGCGAUCUAUUCUUCAUCAACACCGUGUCGCCGGACGACGAGGCCGGGGACAGAGGCGCCUUUGAACUGCCAUGCUUCGAGAACGCCACCUCGAUCACGCUCCACUUAGGGUUUCUUGGCAUUGCAGUGCCAGCCUCCGCCAUAUCCUCUCGGCUCACCGAUCUUGGCCUGAAUAGCUUCCAGGUACAGGGUCCGUGCUUGCUCGGUGACGUUGUAUCCUCGGCGUGGUCCCCAUGCUUGCAAAGGCUCACCAUCAACGAUGCCCGAGGCAUCGACAAAUUCACCAUCCGCUCAGAGUCUCUCCUGCAAUUGAAGCUCAAGGAUCUAGAUGGCCUGCAGCAGCUCACUGUCGUGGCGCCGAAGCUCAAAGAGCUAAGUGUGAUCCUUUGCUUUGCUCCGAAUCAACCUAUUGCUAGCAUCUCAGCUCCUGAGCUGGUGUCGCUCCACUGGAAUGAUGCCUAUGAUCCAUGCUCUGUCCAACUUGGCGAGAUGGCACAUCUACAAUGUCUGCACGUUGGCAUUUUUCUCGUAUAUGGACCACUUGAUUUUACACCCAAUCGCGAUUGCCUGAGGAUCUUGCGGGACUUCAAGGUCAUGCACAGUCUAACCCUCCUACUGCUCUAUAAUCCGGAUAUAGGUAACUAUCGAUACUUGAUGCAUGACAUGACAAGGCUCCCUGACGUCACAUGCUUGUCCCUGACUGUGAUGUCAAACGGACAUUGCUUUGGUGCCAGCUCAUUCCACAUUCUCGGACUGUGUACUGGUGUAAGAAAGUUGGCACUUAACUACUUUGAGGCGCAGACUCCAUGCCCAUCGAGUUGCAUUUGUGAUCAGCCAACACACUGGAAAAGUGAGAAACUUGUGCUCGAUCGCCUCCAAGAAGUAGAAAUUAGUGAACUAUCAGGAACUGAACAUGAAUGUAAUUUUGUGCAACGGUUAUUCAGUUGGGCAACGGCCUUAAAAAAGAUGACAGUAUCUUUUCAUCACUCAAUUACGGAAAGCAAGGCCAAGGGGUUGUGCCAGAUGUUACGAAGCUUCUCCACAUCGGAACUAUAUAUGGAAUUUUAUGUGCACCGCUGUUUGGUGGGGAAAGUUCUGUAUGUUCCUGAAGAUUAACACACUGAUUUGCCAAUUCUCACAAGCUUCUGGUUUGCUUGGUCCUAAUGUUGGCAUGCUGACGAAUUCAUGUUGCCAGAAUGUCAAUGCUGUUGGGAUUGUCUUUCUGGGAUGUGUGUUUAUCUUUGUAAUAUGUAUGCAACUAUGGAUGCUAAUUAAUUUGCUAGGAUAUCAGCAGCUUACCCUGACUUCUAUUCUAUCGAUGCUGAGAGCAUUUGUUAAGUGGGGUGCUCUGCUAUUUAGUAGUCUCAUGGUGAUUUCUGCUAUGAAUUUCUGUUAUUGUAAUGGUACCCGGGACUGGAAGGUCACCCUUUUGAUAUCUUUUGCUGGAAUUUGUGUAAAGCUACAUGUCCAAUGGUCUUUCAUGUUGGGUGAAUUACGAUAAGCUGUUUAGAUGGGAGAUUAAUAUCCAGAGCAUUAACUGCUAAUGAAAGCUGGUGGUAUUUAUCAUGUGACGUGCACUUAUGAUCUACUGCAGAGGGCAAGUGUUCCAAACAAGGUUGCCAGAACAGGACUCCUAGCCUGAGGUACGGUGGUUUGACACUUGAAGACUCCAGUGGACAGUAGUAAAAUAAAUAUGGAAGCUGAAGAUAUCAGUAAAAGAAAGACCGUUAUGUGGUAUCUUCGCCGAGGAAGUUGUGCUGACAAAGGACAAUCUUGCUCGCUGCAACUGGCAAGGAAGCAAAAGAAGCAUUGUUUUUGUGCUCAUGGCAAGACAAUUAAACAACUCUUCUUUCAGUGCAAGUUUGCGCAUUCUAUGUAGUCAGUCAUCUAAAAUAAUGUUCAAUUUGUAUCUGUCAACAAGUGUUGCCAAUUUGUAUGGUCAUUGUUCGAUGACAUACCUAACAAGUUUUAUAUGCUAACAAGGGUGGAUGCAUCUGCCUUACUAUGGGCGCUUAGACUAUGUAGAAAUGAUAUGAUUUUCAAUGUAAAAGUUCAUCUCCGUUAUCUACUGCUGGACGAAUUGGCUUCAUACGGGGUCUACAUUACUCUGAAUGAAGCACCAACCAUUGUUGACAAUGGU